AUCUUUGAACCCAGCACCCCCACUGCCAGCCCACACUCACAGAUUUAAUAAAAUCAGAUUCUUUACCACGUACUCCAAAAAACUAAUGUUUUUC